rnacentral:rRNA from 1 species
AGCGAACGCUGGCGGCAGGCCUAACACAUGCAAGUCGAACGAACCUUUCGGGGUUAGUGGCGGACGGGUGAGUACCACGUGGGAACGUGCCUUUAGGUUCGGAAUAACUCAGGGAAACUUGUGCUAAUACCGAAUGUGCCCUUCGGGGGAAAGCUUUAUCGCCUUUAGAGCGGCCCGCGUCUGAUUAGCUAGUUGGUUGAGGUAAUGGCUCACCAAGGCGACGAUCAGUAGCUGGUCUGAGAGGAUGAUCAGCCACAUUGGGACUGAGACACGGCCUAAACUCCGACGGGAGGCAGCAGUGGGGAAUCUUGCGCAAUGGGCGAAAGCCUGACGCAGCCAUGCCGCGUGAAUGAUGAAGGUCUUAGGAUUGUAAAAUUCUUUCACCGGGGACGAUAAUGACGGUACCCGGAGAAGAAGCCCCGGCUAACUUCGUG